CCAACCCAACUUAUCUACCCAAUAUCCACACUCCAUUAACCUAAAAUUCCCAAAAUCUGAACUUCAGUCCGGGGCUGCUCUGCUCGUCGUCGAACUAUCGAAGUCUCGUCUCUCCACCAGUCCGCCUCCUCAAGUCCACCACCGAACGCUCCCCCCGCCAGUUCGCUCCAUGCCUCCACCUUCGUUGGGGUUAGAAAUUUUAUUAGAUUGAGAAUUUUAUGGCAAAGUCGAUCGCUCUCCCCGUCCGUCCGCUCCACGCCUCCACCUCUGCUGGGUGAGGACUUAAAAAGUUUCAGGAACACAGCUAUCUUAUUCAAGUAGAUCGAGAUGUCAUAGUCAUGGUGGGGGUCGUGCUCGGAUAAACCUUUUUGGUUGAUUUGCAAGAGUUGUCAAGGUUGUUUGGGCAUUCUUACCAUUCUUGCGAGGACUGUUGGCUUCAGUCAGAAAUCAUUGAAAUGUUAUUGACUCUAUAUCAUCUGUUUUAAGUGUUGUCAUAUGAAAUCCAGAAUGAUCAAUAUGCUAAUGUCAUAUGCAUAUGCAAAUCCUUUUUUUCAGAAUUUAUUUGGUUGUGUUUAAAGAAUUACAGUUUACUCACAAUCAAUGGCAGACCCUAUCCAACUAAUCCAAGUUAACAUUUUCACUUUUUCAGGCCCUUGAAGUAUAGCAGAAGCUAGAAUGGAAUAUGAGAUUCAGAUUGGAUCCCGUAUUUCAAGAAUUAAUCAAGUCAAUAGUGUAAGUUGUCGCUUUUAGACUUGUUCUACUCCCAAGUGGGCCUCUUCACAGUAAUCAAAAUUCUUUUGUUUAGACUUAAUAGAGGUUCCAAGCCAUCAUUUUCUCUGGACAAGGGAACUGCUUGGCGAAGGAACUCCACAAGUAAGAAGAUAUCUUCUUCUAGAAGUACAACUGAAGUUCUGCUGUCCCACUUGAAAAAUAAAAUGUAAAUCGAUUUAGGGACAUGAACUUUAAAAAUUGAUUGAGUGAACAAGUUGUCAUUAUGACUUAUGACUUAUGUGUUAAUGCCUAAAUAUGAUUUAAGAUGCGGUAAAAUUUCUUUAUCAACUUCUUACUCCAUUUCAGUAAAUAUACAACUUUCUUGC